GGCUGAGGUUCCUGCCAGGUUAGCCAAGGAGCUGCAGGAGGCUGAGUCUGCAGAGAGAGCCAGAAAGCAUUCCAGAGGCCGCUGCCCGGAAGCUGUGUUCCAGAACUUGGCUUGCAGCUGGCAGACUCUCUUUAUGCAAAGCUGCAAAUGAAGAGAAAACUGAGCCAUAGGAUGAAGAGAAAACUGAAGCACAAGAUGACUGCAUGCUUUUGGCCAUAGACACAGGGACGAAAAGUCGCACUCACUUGACACUCUCUGGGAUAUAAGAAGUGCUACCAUUUCUUGAAAGGAGAUUAGGAAGCAGCCCUGGGAAACCCUGGUACCUCUGUGGAAAUCGGCACUCUCCAUUUCCCUGCUGAACUGUCAGUGUUGCCGUGCUGUUGGUGGUCUUGGACCACCGAGAUCAUAUUAAUACCAACAACAAGCCAGCAACUCAGAGGGCUGCCAUUUGCUUCUCCAAACCCAUUCUUCACUUACCUCUGCUCUGUUCUGUGUCCUUUAUCUGCAUGGGUUAUAGCAACAGGUUCCCUACUCUCUGGCUCCUGGCUAUGUCUGACCAAUGGCAGAAUGACCAAUGAUUUAGAGAAUCAACCUGGGACAGGGCCAUAUAAGACUAUAAAACAGGCUGGGUAUGGUGGCUCACACUUGUAAUCCCAGCACUUUGGGAGGCCAAGGUGGGAGGAUCAUUUGAAGUCAGGAGUUCCAGACCAAUCUGACCAACAUGGUAAAAUCCCAUCUCUACUAAAAAUAAAAAAAUUAGCCGGGCAUGGUAACACACACCUAUAAUCCCAGCUGCUCGAGAGGCUGAGGCAGGAGAAUUGCUUGAACCUGGGAGGCAGAGGUUGCAGUGAGCUGCUGAGAUUGUGUUGCUGCACUCCAGCCUGGGCAAUAGAGCGAGACUGCAUCUCAAAAAAACAAAAAACAAAAAACACUAAAAAUAAGGGGAAGGGGGUUUGGGGGUAGGGAGAGCAUUAGGAAGAAUAGCUAAGGAACGCUGGGAUUAAUACCUAGGUGAUGGGUUGAUCUGUGCAGCAAACAACCAUGGCACGUGUUUACUUAUGUAACAAACCUGCACAUCCUAGACAUGUACCCCAGAACAUCCUAGACAUGUACCCCAGAACUUAAAAUAAAAGUUGAAGAAAAAAUAAAAUAAAAUAUUUUUAAAAGACUAAAAAACAACCACCACCCCCCGCAGUAACAUAAUAUAUGAUAAGUACUUAUAUACACGUGUUAUUACUUUAACAUGAAGAUAUGAAAAAUAGGUAUUUGUUUAAAAUUUAUAUAUGUUACUCAAUAUUUUCUGUUAUAUAAAUGCUAUUAUUUAAACAAAAUAAUAGUAGUACUAGGUAAUAGUGGCAAUUAAGAGUAAUUCAUAGCAGGAUUAAUUAACAAAUAAUAUAUGAGAAAACAAUAUUUUUAUAAUGUUUCUUUCUGUCCUCUGAUACCAGAAAUUUAUUUUAACUGUUUAUUGGAUUCUUAAAUUUUGUAAGCUACAUUGUUGUAUAUCUCUAAGAUACAUAAAUGUAAGCCCUUUAAAAGAAAACAUAAAUACAAUAGGACUAAUUAAGUAGAUAUUAUCUAGAUUUAAUAAAAAAUAGCAAUAAUAUGUUUUUUUCUAUUCAAUGAUACAGUAGGAUAUUUUUGCUCCUUCUGUUUCCUUUUCUGCUAAUACUUCUCUGAACUUUCAAGAGCCUUUAGUACAUCCUUAUUUCUCUUGCAUGUAGUAGAAAAACUCAACAUAGUCAAAUGUAAAAUUCACUUCGUCUUAAAGCUGUCUUCUUUUUUUUUUCUGAGAUGGAGUUUUGCUCUGUCACCCAGGCUGGAGUGCAGUGACGUGAUCUUGGCCCACUGCAACUUCUGCUUCCUGGGUUCAAGCAAUUCUCCCGCCUCAGCCUCCUGAGUAGCUGGAAUUACAGGUGUCUGCCACCACGCUUAGGUAAUUUUUGUACUUUUAGUAGAGUCGGGGUUUCAUCAUGUUGGCCAGGCUUGUCUCAAACUACUGACCUUAAGUGAUCUGCCUGCCUCAGCCUCCCAAAGUGCUGGGAUUACAGGCGUGAGCCACCGCACCCGGCCACAGCUGUCCUCUUAUCAAGCCCAUAUUACACUGAGCCCUGGUGUCAGCCCAAGGUGAUGACAUUGAGCUAACAAUGUUCUCAAAAAAAGCAUUUUAAUGUGGCGCCCCUACAGGAAUUAAUGGUUAAUUAUAUGUGUCAUCCAGGCUACGGUGCCCAGUUGUCUUGUCAAACACUACUCUAGAUGUUGAUGUGUAGGUAUGUUUUAGAUAUGAUUAACACAUAAAUCAGCAGACUUUGAGUAAAGCGGAUGACCUUCCUUAAUGUGAAUGAGCCUCUUCCAAACAGUCAAAGGCCUUCAGAGCAAAGACUGAGGUUUCCCAGGGAAGAAGGAGCUCUGUUUCCAGACUGCAAUAUAGAAACCCUGCCUGAGUUUCCAGUGGAUUUUGGACUCAGGUUUGCAACAUCUACUCUUCCCUGAGUCUCCAGCCUGACACCUGCCCUGCAGAUCUCAGCCUUGCAGCCCCAAUUGUGUGGACUAAUUCCUUCAAAUAAAUUUCUCAGUGGAUGGAUGGAUAGAUAGAUAGAUAGAUAGAUAGAUGAUAGAUAGACAAUAAGAUGAUAGCUUUUUUAUUGCUUCUGUUUCUCUGGAGAAAGGGUAAUAAUAAUGUAUAGUAAACACAUACAUUCUGUGAAACCCUUUUAAAAUUUUGCCAUGUAAUCCGCUAGCAAGAACAAGUUUUUAGACAAGCAAGAAUUAGUUUGCAGCUCUCCAAGAUUGUCCAUCCACUUUGUAUCUAAAGACUUAUUUUGAAAAACCAGAUGUUUCUCAGUGAGAUUCUUUGUAUCAAUAAAUUAGUUAUAUGAGUCAGUCAUGUCCAAAACGGCCAUCAUUUUACCUAGUCUGAAGUACAUUGGAUGGCAUUAUAAGUUAAACCUUUGUUUCUCACAGAAAAUGGUAUUAAAGCACAGAGAUAAUUUUAAGUUUUAAAAUCUUAAAUUGGAUUACAAAUAAACUACCAAUUUAGUAGAGAAAUUAAGAAAGCUCUGUUGCCAUUUUCUGUUUUUUAUAGUUUUAAACCUGCUUUAUUAUUAUUUUUUAAAGUAUCACUUUUUAGAAUGAAUCUAAGCCUUAUUGUCCUCAUCUGCUAAGUCCUUUUUUUAGUGAGUUUUUUCACAAUGUCCACAUAACAUCAAAUAACUGAAGUCCAGUCUGCCCAUCCUUUUCUAUGCUCCUUAUGGGCUCUUCAAAUACCACCAAACAGUUUUGGAGAAAGAGCACAUAAGUUCUGUCCUUGUCUCCAUUAUCAGCCUCAGUGUAUUUCCAAAUUAAACAGGGACAUCCUUCUUAUCCCAAACUUUGAAAAUAUUACUUUGCAAUAGACCAACAAUUUAAUAUUUUCUCUAUGGCAGGCAAUGAUAAUAGCCACCUUGUAGGCAUGCGUCUAAGGAGACUACCUCCUACCAUUUCUACAAAGUCAAAAGUCUCAUUGUUUCUACACAUUUUGAAAGAAAUGAAAGCUGACCAAAAGCUUUCAUUAUGAAAUCAUCAAUAUCCCAGAUAAGCAAAUCACACCCCCUAAAUAUAUGACAAUUAGCAGAUAAGAGUUUUCCAUUUUCAUUGGUAAGAAGUUUAUAGACUGAAAAUAAUUUGCCAAAAUUUACCUUUGCAUUCUCAGUCAUAUCUGUAGGUAGAUUAACAAAGUCUAGUUUUUAUUUUUAUUCUUUUUAUGUAUUUAUAUAUAUAUAUUUUGUAGUGAUGGGGGGUGAUAUGGUUUGGCUGUGUCCCCACUCAAAUCUCAUCUUGAAUUCCCAUGUGCUGUGGGAGGGACCAGGUGGGAGGUAAUUGAAUCAUGGGGACAGGUCUUUCCCAUGCUGUUCUCAUGAUAGUGAAUAAGUCUCAUGAGAUCUGAUGGUUUUAUAAAGGGGUGCUUCCCUGCACAAGCUCUUUUCUCUUGCCUGCUGCCCUGUAAGACAUGCCUUUCACCUUCCACCAUGAUUGUGAGGCCUCCCCAGCAACGUGGAGUUGUAAGUUCAUUAAACCUCUUUCUUUUGUAAAUUGCCCAGUCUCAGGUAUGUCUUUAUCAGCAGCAUGAAAACAGACUAAUACAGGGGGUCUCACCAUUUUGCCCAGGCUUGUCUUGAACUCCUGGCCUCAGGAAAGGUUCCCACUUCAGCCUCCCAAGGCACUGGGGUUAGAGAUGUAAAUGUCUAGUUUUUAUUCAGAUAAGGUAUCAGUAAUCUUUUGGUUUACAUUUUCUGAGUUUAUAAACUGAGUGCUGCAGAAACACUGUUUAUAUUCUGAUAAGUGCUGUUUAUAUUCUGAGUUUAUAAGAGCUUAUAAACUCAGAGCUGCAGAAAGCAUGAUUGUGGGGAAGAUAGGAAAAGAUCAGUUCUACCAUGUAAGGGACCAACACAUCUCUUAUUGUUUUUAUUCAUCUCUUUUGUUUGUUUGCAAGACAUUUCAGUUGUAACCUCUGAAUCAGGAAAUAUAGCCUUACUGAAUCCUAUAAAAUGAUCAAAAGAGUGAUUUGAUAAAGUGAUUUGUGUGGUAUGACUGAGCUAAUGCAGCAGCUGCUAUUUUUGACUGGACAUUUUUUGGUAGACAACGUUUUUUGAUUGACUUAGGGAUAUCGGUUUCAUCUUAGAAUUGUGAGAUGUCGUCUCCACAUGCACUUUCACAUCCCCUUCUCCACUGUGCCUGGCUCAAAACUCUUUUCUGCAUAUUGAGCAGCGUGCUCUGUUUUGAUUAUUUACCUCUCUAAUCUGGUUGUACAUGUCCUUCCAUAUGUCAUUAAGAUAACACAGUUGGUUAGCCUUCUUUUCCAGUGAUGCCUUGGUUUACGCCAGCAUUGGUAUUGUAAUCACUAUCUUUUUUAAUUAUCUGAACUCUUAGAAAAUAUGGCCACAAUAUUUACAACUGCUAAAAAUUAAAUGAGCACUAUCUUGAUACAAAGGACAACAGUUAGUUCACAGGUAAAGUCAAAGACAGACUCUUAAUGCCUGUGAUUGCAGUGUACUUGUGACGCACACUUAGUUGCAACCUUGGGAAAGUUGCAACCGUGGAUGAUCCACUAUUCUGAAUGACAAGUUGUGGUCCCCAACCUGAGCAGUCAGGGGAGAAACAGCAACAGGGGUUAUGGAAGGUGGAUCAUCUGCACUGUACCCAUUUACAGCCAAAACAGUAUUGCAUUCAGCCCCUAUUUUUUGGGCCACCAUAUGGUUUUUACACAUUUCCCCCAAGCUUCUGUGCAUAUCACCGAAUUGAUUUUCCAGGAUUUAGGACUUUAACUGCUAAAACCAGGAUAAUCCCAGGCAAUCUGAGACGAUUGGUCACCCUACCAACGAGGAAAAAUUGUAGUUUGGAGGGCAGGAGGAAAAGAAAUUACAGCUCCCUCCCUAAGGAAUUGAUAUAAGGCUGGCUUCAUUCCUUGACCAAAGCACCCAGGACUUGUCACGUGGCUUUCUCUCUGUCUCCAUGUUCCAGUAACUGCUCUUUCCCUCUGCACUUCAGGCCCAGGGACUGUAACAGAGCCCUGCUCUUACUAGCCCAAGAAACCUUCACUGUCCUUUGUGGUUUCUCUAGACCCUACCCACUCUUAACUCGUAAA
rnacentral:lncRNA from 1 species